rnacentral:tRNA from 1 species
GGCCCCGUCGUCUAGUGGUUAGGACGCAGGGUUUUCAUCCCUGUAACGCGAGUUCGAUUCUCGCCGGGGCUA